UACAGAGGUCUCGAGCGUUAGGCGGAAUCACUGGGCUUAAAGCGUGUGUAGGUGGAUCGGUAAGUACCUUGUGAAAUCCCACGGCUUAACCGUGGAACUGCUUGGUAUACUGCCAGUCUUGAGCCAGCUAGGGGCUACCGGAACAAAUGGUGGAGCGGUGAAAUGCGUAGAUAUCAUUUGGAACGCCAAUGGUGAAAACAGGUAGCUGGGGCUGUGCUGACGCUGAGACACGAAAGCCAGGGGAGCGAACGGG
rnacentral:rRNA from 1 species